rnacentral:rRNA from 1 species
GACGAACGCUGGCGGCGUGCCUAACACAUGCAAGUCGAGCGAAGCACUUGGAACCGAUCCUUCGGGUGAAGUUCCAUUUGACUGAGCGGCGGACGGGUGAGUAACGCGUGGGUAACCUGCCUCAUACAGGGGAAUAACAGUUUGAAAAGACUGCUAAUGCCGCAUAAGCGCACAGGGCCGCAUGGCCCGGUGUGAAAAACUCCGGUGGUAUGAGAUGGACCCGCGUCUGAUUAGCUAGUUGGUGAGGUAACGGCCCACCAAGGCGACGAUCAGUAGCCGACCUGAGAGGGUGACCGGCCACAUCGGGACUGAGACACGGCCCAAACUCCUACGGGAGGCAGCAGUGGGGAAUAUUGCACAAUGGGGGAAACCCUGAUGCAGCGACGCCGCGUGGAUGAAGAAGUAUUUCGGUAUGUAAAGUCCUAUCAGCAGGGAAGAAAAUGACAGUACCUGACUAAGAAGCCCCGGCUAACUACGUGCCAGCCGCCGCGGUAA